GUCAGGCUCUGUCGAGAACAAGCGACAAACCGUCCGCACAAAACAUAACACGUUUCCAUGGAGGAGGGAGAAAAAAAAAAAAAACCAACCAACAACCAUGUCUCCGCACUGCCAGGCUGGCUUUAAAAUGCUACCUCUGGGCUCUGUGCCCCCCUCUCGGGGUGAAGCUCUUGGAGCCAGACCCUCCGCUCCGUCCCUGCGAGACGCGUCCUCUCCGGCCAGACCAUCCCGAAACGCCUGGCCCUUACCCGUGCCAGCACAGCAACAGCCACCCUGCUCCACAGUUGCUUUAAAUAAUAACCUGCUAGUAAACUUGGAAGAAACGGUGACGUUGUUCUAGGCUAACCACCAUUAAAGCGCUCCUCUGCUGUUUCUCAAUAGAGGUGAAAAGCAUUUUAGCUUCCUGGAAAUGGCCGAAAGAGGCGACGUGUAGAUCAAAGUACGGUAUGGAUCUGUUCUUGGUUUUGCAGGGGUUUUUGGAACUGUAAUGAAAACGUUUCUGCAGCUUGCAUCAUAAUGAGUUAAGUCAGCACGUAAAGCGAUUUUAAAAAAGAGCAGAUUUAGACACCAUUGGCUGCUAACUUUCCUGGGCUUUAAAAUUUAUGUUUAAAUAGAUAUUUGGGUAUUAGUAAUAUCUGCAUUUAAACCUUAACGUUGCAUCUGUUUAACCCUGGAGCAAACUGGCUCUGCCUAGCACAGGCUUUGAAGCGAUUCAGCCAGACCAUAAUACUGUGGGAGCUUAGACAGCUUUGUCCGUACUUGCACCUCUCUGCGCAUUUUUCCAGGACGACGAUCUUUGUCUGCAAUUAAUCAUUGUUCAGGACGGCCGUUCCCGAUGGUAGAAUCCAUGGGCUGCUCCAGCUGGGAGAGGUCCUAAAGCGUGUGCCUGGCGCCGCGUACGUGCAGACCAGGGCCAGAAAUUGCUGGGGCAGCAGGCGUUGUACAGCGAGCCCGCCGUGCCGGCCCAGUGAAUUGUGUGGGUCCUCAGCACUUCUGGAAAGUGUUUUUGAGCUGCUGAUGGAGAACAGGGUUCUCUUUGCUUCCUAACACCUUCCCCUGCACGUUGUCUUUCCUUUUCCCCACACGAUUCCUGCCAGCAGUCCAGGAAUUCUUGCUGCUCGCAGCGUGCAGGAAGUGGUUCCUGUGGCAGUAAAUCAUCACAAACGCCUGCUGUGGUGUAUAAGAAGGUGGGGAAUGAGACCAAAAGAGAUUCUAGUUCCACCACCACUCAAUCGCCCACAUGAAAAAAUACUUUAUGGUCCCAGUGCCCAACGUGCAAUUGGCUGUGUAACAGGAAAUGCCCGUAGAGCUGGCAGGGAAGCGGGGGAGCUACACGUUCCUCUCUACAGCUCCUCCAGACAGAGGAUUGAGGGGCACAUUUGCACAGGAGGGUGGGGAGAGAAAUUAAAGCUUGAGCAGCUGUUGCCCUCCUCUUUGGCUAGCCCUGGCUUGCUUGUUGGAGGUCUGUGGAUUGAGAACACUUCUCCAGGUCCAAAACUAACUCCAAAAAGGGAAACAGAGGUGCCCACCCUGAUCUGUAGUGGAAAGGAUUUGCUGUGGGCUCUGUGUGUGUGUGUUUCAAACCAAUAAAAAACUUGAGAAAUAAA